rnacentral:lncRNA from 1 species
AUACCAAAUUUAGACGAAACGUUAAUGGAAACAAAAUCAUUGGCCAUCACUCAUCACCACAAACUCUAGUUCAAUAUAAAAGAUCAAUUAGUUUUCCAAUAAACAUGUUUACCCAGAUGAAAAUACGUACUAUAUGAUAUCAUGGACUUUUGAUAAUUAGACUACUAGAUCCAUCAAUUCCCGCCUACCUUGCGCCAGAAUUUAAAAACGAUCUUAGUAGUUUUCUUUUUUGAAAACAAUCUUUUUUUUGUCCAC